AACUGUUGUUGCCGUGGAAAAUCAGGUCGAGUGAGACCCUCCUCCCCCGAGCAAAAAACAACAACAGAAAAGCCUUCCAAAAGAUCAAAACGAAAACACACAAAAAAAGGCCUGCAGAUUUGCACAGUGAGUAAAGGACAGUCGUAGAGUGCGUUCUUUUUGUGGUGCAAGAGCACAACACGUUUCUUCUUUUCCGAUGUAAAUAACAGCAAACCACAGUUAUAGCCAAAAAUCCCAAACCGAAGUUGCUGCUGAAGGGUUCCUCACUGUGCUGCACGUGUUUCUUCUGCAGGAGGGAGGAUGGAAGCGUCGGUCUAAGACAAACUGCAGUCGUCUUGCACGCCGUACUGAAAUGUUGGGCUUAAGGUAACAGGCAGUUAGUGUCAGAACAUAGUGCAGACUCACGUGAGUCACACAGGGACCGUGAGAUAUGUCGUGCUUAUUUCUUAAAUUUAGCGAUUGAUAGUUAGAUAUUUGGAACACUAAUAGCUUGUACUUGCUUUCAUAUACUUGUAUUUAUUGUUUAGGUCGGGGAAUAGGGAUUAUCAGUGGCAGAACUGAGGCUAACAUCAGCUUUUUAAAGUAGUUUUUCAGUUUGUGAGCUAAGAUAACGCAGCUUAUGGUGGUUUUUGGUACUAAUGAGUUUGGCUGUAAAAUCUUAUAUUUAGAUGAGCUAGAGAAAAGCUGGUUUACACUAGAAGAUGCUGGCUAGUUUGUAUUUGAAUGGAAAAGUAUAAAGUCGCGAUUAUUAGAAGGAAAAAGGUUGCGGUUUGACCUCUGCUUUUUUACCUGGCACAAAUUGACAUUCCUACUAAAUGAACCCUUUUUUUUAGCGCAGCUGUCUCUGGAGUUUUGUGACCGUGAUCUGGGAGCUGAUCUAACUGCAAACUAACCAUCAAAAAACAUUUUUCCUGUCUUUUUGGUUUUUUUUUAUGAAAGAUAAAAUGGUAAUAAUACUGGGAUCACACCAAAAAUGUUUUUGCCUAGCAUGUGGUCUCCAGAGGUAGCUACAAAGCAGAUCCUGUAGAAGUAAGAAAAACAACAAGCAUAUAUGGUGCUUCCGUGAAAUAUUUCUUACAGCUUCUUUCUAUUUCAGCUCAGGAGCCUUGAUGAGACAGAUGUGAUUUUGUGUCGUAUUUUGUAAUUCUCAGCAAUCUCUCUUCUGUGUACUUGUCCAGGAUUGUGUUGAAGGUUCAGUUUCUGUCACAAAACAGAGAACAGGAGCCAUUGGAGAUCGCCCAUCAAGACCUACUCUUUUAGAACAAGUAUUAAAUCAAAAGAGGCUGUCCCUUCUAAGAAGUCCAGAAGUGGUCCAGUUUCUACAGAAACAACAGCGACUGCUCAGUCAGCAGGCUUUGGAGCAAAGGCAGCAACAAUUUCAAGGAGCAUCUGUGUAAUCAGAACAGAUUCACAGAAUCACAGAAUGGUUGAGGUUGGAAGGGACCUCUGGAGAUCAUCUAGUCCAACCUCCCUGCCCA